AAGUCAGAUACUUCAAAGAAUAGGGACAUUGUCAUUUCCCUUGUUUAAAAUAAAGUUGCUGUUAAAUACUUGUCUGCUACACUGUACUCUGAUAACAGUCAAGGAUUCUUAGUCUCAUACAU
rnacentral:snoRNA from 1 species